rnacentral:siRNA from 1 species
UCCGAACGACGCUUCCGCCGA